GGCCGGUUAGCUCAGUUGGUCAGAGCGUGGUGCUGAUAACGCCAUGGUUGCGGGUUCAAUCCCCUUAUGGGUAUCA